rnacentral:lncRNA from 1 species
CUGUGUGCGAAUGACGUAUCUUGUGCAUUUUAACUUUUUUUUUUUCGUAAUAUAAAUAUUCUGGUUUUGUAUUUUUGUGUAUUUUAAUCUAAGGCCCUCAUUCCUGCACUGUGUUCUCAGGUAAUGUGAGCAAUCUCAGGGAUAAGUCGGCAGCAGCUCCGGGUCUACACAGCAGGAAUACUUUUUGUUGCUGUCUCACCAGAGAGAACAACUAUGUGGAGUGUAUAGCCUACUGAACUACCUCAUUUUUGCCAAUUAGAGCUGGCUUUUCUGCCAUAGUAGGGGGGAAGCCAAGAUUAGGUGAAGGUCAUCUUAUGUGAUAAGGGAUUCCUGUUCCAGACCUCUAACCCUGUGGCACAGGACUUGUUUUAACUACCAGAUCCAUCCUUCACUGGAUUGGGCUAGGCCUACCACACUCAACAGGGUGUAUGUGUUUGCAAAAAAGGCGAGUUGGUAAGGAUAGGUUUUAAGAAUGAUGCCUCUGUACCCAUCUUGAGCUGCCCAGGGAUGGAUAUAUGAACCAAGGACAAAAUCCUUAAACCUUGAACAAUUCUGGGCUUUUCCUCCUUGGCUUCCAGAGGGACCAUCAGCGAUGGUUUCUUUGUGGUUCCCAGAGCCAGUGUCCUGCCCUGCUGCAGCAGUGAUGAAUGUCAUAGUAGCUAAAGGAGAAAAGGGGGUUUCGUUUACAUGCUGUGAGAUCACUGCAAACCUACCUCACUGUGUUGUAACGGGGCAAAUGCAAUAGAACGCAUUGGGUGAUGUGUGUCUUAGCCUGGGUUCUUGUCUCCCCCAACUGCUGCCCCCCUUUAGUUAUUGUAUUUGUCUGGGCUUUGUAGGACUUCACAAGUAGCUGAUUUGGUGAUUGCUAGGUGGCCUAGUUUGUGUAAAUAUAAUAUGUUGGUCUUCUCCAUGUUCUUUUGGGGUUUUAUUGUUUACAAACUUCUUUUUAUAUUGAGAAAAGUAGCCAAAGCAUCUUUGACAAAAGGUUCUGCACCAGGCAAAAAGAUCUGAAACAUAAGCUUGGGGGCCUCUCUUUUUGAAAUGGGGGGUCUUGAACCACACUUUCUUUUGUUCCCCUUCCCCUAUUUCCUAUUUUAAACAAGAACUUCUGUCCUCAAAACUAGAUCUCCCCCCCAAUAGCCUGUAUACCUAUCCAUUAAUUUGUGGGGUGUCUGCAAUUCUUAAAUGAUUUGUGCAAAAAUCCUAAGAAGCUAAGACCUCUCCAUCCCUUGUUCCCAGUCUCCUGAGUCAAGACCAUUCCUUGAUGUGGUUCAUGCCAAACAGACUGCUACUUUUGGAUAGAUUAAAACCUAUUUCAAUCUCUAAUCCUAGGGUAGAGAAAAACAAUAUGGGGGCCUUCCAUGUAGAAAGUGGGGUUGGGAGACCAAGAAAGGAAAGAUGAAUGUAUAUCCAAGUCACUCAGGAACUUUUAUGCAGGUGCAAGAAACUUAUGUCAAAGUGGCCACAAGAUUGUUUAAUAGGAGACGGACGAAUGUAACUCCAUGUUUACUGCUAGAAACCAAAGCUUUGUGCGAAAUCUUGAAUUUAUGGGGCGGGAGGGAGGGAAGGAAAACAUGUACCUGUCUGUUCUUUGCCUCAUCCCUUCCCUUCAUUCCUGAACUGCAGGAGACUGAGCCCUCUUGGGCUUUGGUGACCCCAUCUGGGGAGUGUUUAUUUGAUGGUUGACUUUGCUGUGCCAGGUACUUCCUUUCCUAUUUUACCAUCAUUUUGUAACACACAUGCUGACCCUUACCCCUUCCCCUUCUUUUCC